UACAUAGGUCUCAAGCGUUGUUCGGAUUCAUUGGGCGUAAAGGGUGUGUAGGUGGCGCGCUAAGUCGGGUGUGAAAUUUCGGAGCUUAACUCCGAAACUGCAUUCGAUACUGGCGUGCUUGAGGACUGGAGAGGAGACUGGAAUUCAUGGUGUAGCAGUGAAAUGCGUAGAGAUCAUGAGGAAGACCAGUGGCGAAGGCGGGUCACUGGACAGUUCCUGACACUGAGACACGAAAGCCAGGGGAGCAAACGGG
rnacentral:rRNA from 1 species